rnacentral:rRNA from 1 species
UUGGAGGGCAAGUCUGGUGCCAGCAGCCGCGGUAAUUCCAGCUCCAAUAGCGUAUAUUAAAGUUGUUGCAGUUAAAAAGCUCGUAGUUGAAUUUCGGGAUCAAUAUGUUGGUCGUACCUUGGUACGUACUAAUUUAUUGGUUUCUUCCUUCUGACGAACCAUGAUGUCAUUAAUUUGGUGUCUUGAGGAAUCAGGACUGUUACUUUGAAAAAAUUAGAGUGUUUAAAGCAGGCUCACGCUUGAAUACAUUAGCAUGGAAUAAUGAAAUAGGACGUUUGAUUCUAUUUUGUUGGUUUCUAGAAUCGACGUAAUGAUUAAUAGGGAUAGUUGGGGGCAUUAGUAUUCAAUUGUCAGAGGUGAAAUUCUUGGAUUUAUUGAAGACUAACUACUGCGAAAGCAUUUGCCAAGGAUGUUUUCAUUAAUCAAGAACGAAAGUUAGGGGAUCGAAGACGAUCAGAUACCGUCGUAGUCUUAACCAUAAACUAUGCCGACUAGGGAUCGGAUGAUGUUAAUUUUUUAAUGACUCAUUCGGCGCCUUACGGGAAAC